AAUUUUGGACAAUGGGCGAAAGCCUGAUCCAGCAAUGCCGCGUGCGGGAUGGAGGCAUUCGGGUUGUAAACUGCUUUUGUAUGGAACGAAAAAGCUCCUCCUAAUACAGGGGGCCCAUGACGGUACCGUCAGAAUAUGCACCGGCGAACUACGUGCCAGCAGCCGCGGUAAUACGUAGGGUGCGAGGGUUAAACGGAAUUACUGGGCGUAAAGCGUGCGCAGGCGGUUAUGUAAGACAGAUGUGAAAUCCCCGGGCUCAACCUGGGAACUGCAUUUGUGACUGCAUGGCUAGAGUACGGUAGAGGGGGAUGGAAUUCCGCGUGUAGCAGUGAAAUGCGUAGAUAUGCGGAGGAACACCGAUGGCGAAGGCAAUCCCCUGGACCUGUACUGACGCUCAUGCACGAAAGCGUGGGGAGCAAACAGG
rnacentral:rRNA from 1 species